AGUUGUAAUUUGCAGAGGGAGCUUUUGGCGUCGGUCGUGGUCUAAGUUCCUUGGAACAGGACGUCACAGAGGGUGAGAAUCCCGUACGUGGCCGCCGGCCUUCGCCUUGUAAAGCCCCUUCGACGAGUCGAGUUGUUUGGGAAUGCAGCUCUAAAUGGGAGGUAAAUUUCUUCUAAAGCUAAAUACCCGCCAGAGACCGAUAGCGCACAAGUAGAGUGAUCGAAAGAUGAAAAGCACUUUGGAAAGAGAGUGAAAAAGCACGUGAAAUUGUUGAAAGGGAAGCGCUUGCGGCCAGACGUGCCCGCGGUUGAUCAUCCAGGCUCCAGCCUGGUGCACUCCUCCGCGGGCAGGCCAGCAUCAGUUCGGGCGGUCGGAUAAAGGCCUCUAUCACGUACCACCCCUCGGGGUGGCCUUAUAGGGGAGGCGCAACACGGCCAGCCCGGACUGAGGUUCCGCGCAUCUGCUAGGAUGCUGGCGUAAUGGCAGCAAGCGGCCCGUCUUGAAACACGGACCAAGGAGUCUAACAUCUAUGCGAGUGUUUGGGUGUCAAGCCCGAGCGCGCAAUGAAAGUGAACGGAGGUGGGAACCCUUACCGGUGCACCAUCGACCGAUCCUGAUGUCUUCGGAUGGAUUUGAGUAAGAGCAUAGCUGUUGGGACCCGAAAGAUGGUGAACUAUGCCUGAAUAGGGUGAAGCCAGAGGAAACUCUGGUGGAGGCUCGCAGCGGUUCUGACGUGCAAAUCGAUCGUCAAAUUUGGGCAUAGGGGCGAAAGACUAAUCGAACCAUCUAGUAGCUGGUUCCUGCCGAAGUUUCCCUCAGGAUAGCAGUAACGUUUUCAGUUUUAUGAGGUAAAGCGAA
rnacentral:rRNA from 2 species